CUGGCGGCGUGCUUAAUACAUGCAAGUCAACUUGACUUUAGAUAGCAAUAUCGAAAAGUAGGGUGGCGCACGGGUGCGUAACGCGUAGGUAAUCUGCCAUGAGGUCUGACAUAACCCGUCGAAAGGCGGGCUAACAUCAGAUGAUAUAUAAUCACGACAUCGUGGAAAUAUCAAAUCUUCGGAGCCUUGGGAUGAGCCUGCGUCUGAUUAGGUAGUUGGCGGAGUAAUAGCCCACCAAGCCUACGAUCAGUAGCUGGUCUGAGAGGAUGAUCAGCCACACUGGAACUGAGACACGGUCCAGACUCCUACGGGAGGCAGCAGUAAGGAAUAUUGCUCAAUGGGGGGAAACCCUGAAGCAGCAACGCCGCGUGAAGGAUGAAAUACUUUGUAUGUAAACUUCUGUAAGAUGGGAAAAUAUUCUCCUCGGGAGAAUUGAUUGUACCAUCAGAGUAAGCCCCGGCUAACUACGUG
rnacentral:rRNA from 1 species